CUCCUACGGGAGGCAGCAGUGGGGAAUUNUGGACAAUGGGCGCAAGCCUGAUCCACCCAUGCCGCGUGAGUGAAGAAGGCCUUCGGGUUGUAAAGCUCUUUCGCAAGGGAAGAAACGAUAGGGACGAAUACUCGCUGUUAAUGACGGUACCUUGAUAAGAAGCACCGGCUAACUACGUGCCAGCAGCCGCGGUAAUACGUAGGGUGCGAGCGUUAAUCGGAAUUACUGGGCGUAAAGCGUGCGCAGGCGGUUCGACAAGUCAGAUGUGAAAUCCCCGGGCUCAACCUGGGAACUGCGUUUGAAACUAUCGAGCUAGAAUAGGUCAGAGGGGGGUAGAAUUCCCCGUGUAGCAGUGAAAUGCGUAGAGAUGUGAAGGAAUAUCAAUGGCGAAGGCAGCCCCCUGGGAUCAUAUUGACGCUCAUGCACGAAAGCGUGGGGAGCAAACAGGAUUAGAUACCCUGGUAGUCCACGCCCUAAACGAUGUCAACUAGUUGUUGGUAGAGUAAAAUCUAUGAGUAACGCAGCUAACGCGUGAAGUUGACCGCCUGGGGAGUACGAUCGCAAGAUUAAAACUCAAAGGAAUUGACGG
rnacentral:rRNA from 1 species